rnacentral:rRNA from 4 species
GGUUAAGCGACUAAGCGUACACGGUGGAUGCCCUGGCAGUCAGAGGCGAUGAAGGACGUGCUAAUCUGCGAUAAGCGUCGGUAAGGUGAUAUGAACCGUUAUAACCGGCGAUUUCCGAAUGGGGAAACCCAGUGUGAUUCGUCACACUAUCAUUACGUGAAUACAUAGCGUAAUGAAGCGAACCGGGGGAACUGAAACAUCUAAGUACCCCGAGGAAAAGAAAUCAACCGAGAUUCCCCCAGUAGCGGCGAGCGAACGGGGAGCAGCCCAGAGUCUGAAUCAGCAUGUGUGUUAGUGGAAGCGUCUGGAAAGUCGCACGAUACAGGGUGAAAGUCCCGUACACAAAAGUGCAUGUGUUGUGAACUCGAAGAGUAGGGCGGGACACGUGGUAUCCUGUCUGAAUAUGGGGGGACCAUCCUCCAAGGCUAAAUACUCCUGACUGACCGAUAGUGAACCAGUACCGUGAGGGAAAGGCGAAAAGAACCCCGGCGAGGGGAGUGAAAAAGAACCUGAAACCGUGUACGUACAAGCAGUGGGAGCA